rnacentral:rRNA from 1 species
GACGAACGCUGGCGGCGCGCCUAACACAUGCAAGUCGAACGAGCGAGAGAGAGCUUGCUUUCUCGAGCGAGUGGCGAACGGGUGAGUAACGCGUGAGGAACCUGCCUCAAAGAGGGGGACAACAGUUGGAAACGACUGCUAAUACCGCAUAAGCCCACGACCCGGCAUCGGGUAGAGGGAAAAGGAGCAAUCCGCUUUGAGAUGGCCUCGCGUCCGAUUAGCUAGUUGGUGAGGUAAUGGCCCACCAAGGCGACGAUCGGUAGCCGGACUGAGAGGUUGAACGGCCACAUUGGGACUGAGACACGGCCCAGACUCCUACGGGAGGCAGCAGUGGGGAAUAUUGCACAAUGGGGGAAACCCUGAUGCAGCGACGCCGCGUGGAGGAAGAAGGUCUUCGGAUUGUAAACUCCUGUUGUUGGGGAAGAUAAUGACGGUACCCAACAAGGAAGUGACGGCUAACUACGUG